rnacentral:lncRNA from 1 species
CCCUCUUCCAUCUCCUGGGCCCUGUCCCGGAGGACACUAUCCUACCAAGUGAUUUUAAAAGGCUGGUUGUUGCCACCCUUACAGAUGUGUGUUCUCUGAGAGACUUUGUCCUCACUUCUAGGAUGGUUGGCAUUUUGAAAGGGACUUUGGACCUUGUAGUGUCUGGGACCUUGUCAGGACCACAGUGCAAGCUUUGUUUGCUGUGUAUUAGAGCAAAGAGGGCGAAAGUGUCCCAGGAAGGCUGAGCAGGUGUGGUGUGACGAUGGUCAGGCCCUUGAGUCCCAGCCCCUGCCUGUGCCUUCCAGCCCGUCAGCCAUCUCGUGCUCCUUUGUUUCUCCUUUCCAGUAUGUGCAGCCCACAAUGGCCACAAGAAACAGUCACUAGAGAUGGUCUGGACUUAGCGCAUUGCCAGUGUCUGAGUCUGAUUAUCACCGGUGCUGUUGUGGAUUUUUGUGGGGUAGUGAUGGUUGUUGAUGCUGCCAGUUUCUCCUGAAGUGGUCAAGCCCCUGAUCACAUGGCUGCCCGUGUGGGCCUUCUCGAGCGGUGUUGAGCCAGGUGGCCCAGGAGGAUGGGCUGAACUGUCAGCAAGUCACCUCCAGCUGCCUCGUAACUUGUGCGAUGGGGGAAAGCUCCACACGACACGUAGUGGGCAGUUUCUUUGCUCUUUCACCUCUUGGCAUCUGGGGGUCAGGGGAACCUUACAGGGGAAAGAAGCCUUAGCCUCUAGCCAGGUUCAGCCUUGUUCCCUGACCUGAGUGAAGCUGUCCUACAGGCGAACAGGGACGGAGUCAUGCUGUGGCUUCUGGUAGUGGUCUACAGAAACUAAUGCUCUGACUCAGCUGCAGCCAGCGGGGCUGGAGGCGCGUCCUGCUUUGUAGACUGCUGCUGGACAGAAGCUCUGCUGGGAGGAUUCUUGUCAGAGGCUUCUAGGGAUCUUCCUUCCCUUCACUAUCCUGUGCUGCAAACUGCAAGUGCCAGCAAGGUGGCCGACUUGUGACUCCGAGAUACUCAGACCAAAGAAGCUGUUUGUGGCAAGAUGUGCACUGAGCUCUACAGAGGGAGGGGUUGGAGGCGGGGCUCCCCUCGGCCUCAGUCAUCAGACAGUGCCCUAAGUGCCCCAGUGGGCUCACCCUGCCCACACUUCAAAGAACAAAGUACUCGAGCCUUUCCUUCUUGGGUGGGCCUGGAAUGUGGAAGCCCCUGUCUUACUCUGUCAGCUGUGGGCCAGCUCUCGGCUCAAAUUACUUCUGAGGUUUGGGGAACACAAAUCUCUGGAGUGAGCUUUGGUUUCAUUGACCCUGGUCAUGGACCAGAGAACAAAACAGUGAGCCUCAGGGGAUUGCGCUGGAAGAUCUGCUGGCAACAACUCUGUCCCCAAAAACCGGUGGCUCACUCCGCCUCUGCCACUGCCUUGGGCACCCUGCCCAGGUCUGUAGGAGUUGGCUCAGGGCUUGUUUUUAAGUCUUGUUUUCAUCCGAGCUGUCCCGGUGUCUUCAUUCAACCCUCAUGGGAUUGGGGGCUAAAGAGCACCAUUUGUGGGGUUCAAAACCACUCCACAGUCUUUGAAGUAUGGCAGGCCUGUGACUGGCUUGGACCAAAGGAGAAGGGCCUUGGGCAUCCAAGCUGACCUUUCUCAGGCAGCCGCUAUAGGAAGGCCUCUGUGGGCCUGACCCUGGCCUUCUGCUGUGUACUGAAGACCACCUUUCCUCCCCUGCCUUUGGAUUGCUACCAUGGACACUGGUCUGUAGAAGUGAGCUGGGUAGAAAGGCCUUAACUCUGGACUGAGACCCGCGUGGGCUUGCUGUCCCCACUCAGGCCUGUGUCUGAAGAUGUUGGUAUCUGAGGAUUGGCUCACACAAAGCUCUGCUGACACUCGUUUUUUAAUGGAAAAUUUCAGGCUUGCUCCUUCUUUCUGGCAUUCGUCGCCCUUAUUUGCUGGCCCUCUGAAGCCCAGAGGCAGGUGUCUUUGUGAUCUUGAAUUCUGUCUCCAAAGAUGACCAGCAUUAAACCAACCUGGGGGCCCAAAGGCCCUGAGCAGUUUUCAUGGAGCCGUCUACAUCUAAGAGACUCAGGAAAGGGAGCUAGAGUGUCUCUCUGGCCUUGUCUGCCUUUUGUUGAACCAGAGACCCGUUGCGUCUCGCUGCAGAGUGACGGCGGGCGGGCCUACAGACUGUAUCUGAGGAGAUUUAGGACGGUUUUCACUGAAUUAAACUACAGUGUUCACUGUGGCCAUCAGGUGCUGCAUCUGGGGGCGUGAGAGCUUCACUUUUUUGUCUUGGCUUUUCUUUGGGCUGUGCUGGGGGCUUUCUUGCUGGGGUGGGGGCAGAGAUACCAAAUGCACUGUUCCACUCCAGACAUCUCACUUGUUUCUAAUAAAGCAAGCCGUUCAACAGUCUG